rnacentral:rRNA from 1 species
AGUACAACACAGCAUCAGGAGAGGAGUUGUCUGGUUCGCGGCGGACGGUGAUAUGCCUAGGAUCUGCUGGAUGGGGGAAACUCCGGAACGGGCGCUAUACCGCUACUCCUGAGGGAGAAAUGGGGGAUCUUCGGACCUCACGCUAUCAGAUGAGCCUAGGUCGGAUUACUAUUGUGGGUAAAGGCUACCAAGGCGACGAUCCGAACUGGCUGAGAGGUGUCAGCCACUGGAAUGAACCGUCCAGACUCCUACGGGAGGACAUGGGGAUAUUGACAUGGCGAAGCUGUCCACCUGCCCGUGGUGAAAGCUCGAUUGAAGAUUUAAUUGGAGAAGGCAUAGUAUACUUGCUGUUGCAUCCUCCAUUGACGGUACUCUGCACACCGGGAUACAGGGGCUUGUCUCGAUUAUGUCUCUCGCCU